rnacentral:rRNA from 1 species
CAGCCGCCGCGGGAAUACGUAGGGUGCAAGCGUUAAUCGGAAUUACUGGGCGUAAAGCGUGUGCAGGCGGUUAUAUAAGACAGAUGUGAAAUCCCCGGGCUCAACCUGGGAACUGCAUUUGUGACUGUAUAGCUAGAGUACGGCAGAGGGGGAUGGAAUUCCGCGUGUAGCAGUGAAAUGCGUAGAUAUGCGGAGGAACACCGAUGGCGAAGGCAAUCCCCUGGGCCUGUACUGACGCUCAUGCACGAAAGCGUGGGGAGCAAACAGGAUUAGAUACCCGCGUAGUCCCUGUCUCUUAUAA